rnacentral:rRNA from 1 species
GGGGUUGGUGUCGGGAUCACUGGGCGUAAGCGCACGCAGGCGGCUCCGAAAGCCCACGGUGAAAGCCCUCGGCCCAACCGAGGGAGGCCCGUGGGAACUCCGGGGCUUGAAGGCGGGAGAGGCAGAUGGAAUUUCCGGUGUAGCGGUAAAAUGCGUAGAUACCGGAAGGAACACCAGUGGCGAAAGCGAUCUGCUGGCCCGCUCUUGACGCUCAGGUGCGAAAGCUAGGGUAGCGACCGGGAUUAGAUACCCCGUUAGUCCUAGCCGUAAACAAUGGGCACUAGGUGUUGUCGGUAUCGACCCCGGCAGUGCCGAAGCUAACGCAUUAAGUGCCCCGCCUGGGGAGUACGGCCGCAAGGCUAAAACUCAAAGGAAUUGACGGGGGCCCGCACAAGCAGCGGAGCGUGCGGUUCAAUUCGAUGGUACGCGAAGAACCUUACCCAGGCUUGACAUGCAGGUGGUACUGACCCGAAAGGGAAGGGACCCGCAAGGGAGCCUGCAAUGGUGUUGCACGGCUGUCGUCAGCUCGUGUCGUGAGAUGUUGGGUUAAGUCCCGCAACGAGCGCAACCCUCGCCGCCUGUUGUAUCCCUCAGGCGGGACUGCCGAGAGAAACUCGGAGGAAGGUGGGGAUGAUGUCAAGUCCGCGUGGCCCUUAUGCCUGGGGCUACACGCACGCUACAAUCGCCGGUCACAGCGGGUCGCAACUGCGCGAGCAGGAGCUAAUCCCUCAAAACCGGCGUCAGUUCAGAUCGGAGGCUGCAACCCGCCUCCGUGAAGUCGGAGUUGCUAGUAACCGCGGGUCAGCACACCGCGGUGAAUAUGUUCCCGGGCCUUGUACACACCGCCCGUCACGUCAUGGAGUCGGUAACACCCGAAGCCGGUGGGCCAACCGCAAGGAGGCAGCCGUCGAAGUUGGGACCGGCGACUGGGACGAAGUCGUAACAAGGUU